rnacentral:pre_miRNA from 1 species
UAGUUGCUUUUAGAUGAGUGCAAUGUCCAUCAAAUUAACUGAAUAUCUGCCUUCACCUUAGUUCAUUUGAUGGACAUUGCACUCAUCUAAAAGCAAC